rnacentral:rRNA from 1 species
GACGAACGCUGGCGGCGUGCUUAACACAUGCCAGUCGAACGGAAAGGCCUGCUUUCCCUUGUGGAUUGCGGGUACUCGAGUGGCGAACGGGUGAGUAACACGUGAGUGAUCUGCCCCCAACUUGGGUAUAAGCCUGGGAAACUGGGUCUAAUUCCCGAUAGGACUGCAGGGUGGUGCCUGUGGUGGAAAACGAUUUUCUAGUGGUUGGGGAUGAGCUCGCGGCCUAUCAGCUUGUUGGUGGGGUAAUGGCCUACCAAGGCGGCGACGGGUAGCCGGCCUGGGAGGGUGGACGGCCACAUUGGGACUGAGAUACGGCCCAGACUCCUACGGGAGGCAGCAGUGGGGAAUAUUGCACAAGGGGCGGAAGCCUGAUGCAGCGACGCCGCGGGGGGGAUGACGGCCUUCGGGUUGUAAACUCCUUUCGACCGCGAGGAAGCCACCUGGUUGGAAGGGUGGUGACGGUAGUGGUAGAAGAAGCACCGGCUAACUACGUG